UGCCUCCUUAAAUCAAGGAGGGAGAGGAAAGUGUCAUAAUAACCUUAGCAUCAGAAUGCCACCCCAAUGGCAUUCCCAAUUUAGAAUGCUAGGCCCGUUCCAGUCUGUACAGAGGAAGCAAAGAAGUUCGAAGUUGGCAAGGAGGGACCCGGAAUCACGGACUAGCUUCAAAAGCCACAGCUGAUCUAAAAGUUUGGCAUCAUUUUAAGAUUCUUUCCCAGCACUGAUUGGUUCCUCUCCUGAAAGGUGAUUAAGUUCCCAACUCAGACAACGUGCUUAGGACGGGAAGCAGGGAAGGACAGCACCAGCUCAGAGGGGCAGAGACAAUGAGCCAAUACUCAGAAGCUGAAGUUCAUUUUGGAGGGACCAAGAGAAAUAUGCCAGCCUUACAGCGUGCACUGGAAGUUAAGAGACAAGUCACUUGCACACCAAGAAGACCCUGAGAUGCUGUAACCAGAUUAACACGGAUGGAUGAGAUGCCUUGCCUUUGUAAAAGACCUUAUGUUUACAUGAUGCAACUAAUUUCAAAGAAGCAAAUGAUAGUGGUCAAACUCACCGUGAUGGCUGUGAGGUCAAGCUUGGUUGGUACUUGAUUGGAUCUGGGGUUCCACUAAGAGACAUACUUCUAAUGAGCAUGUGACAGUAUUUCCUCUGUGGUUCCUGCCUGAAUUCCUGUUUGGGUUCCUGCCCUGACGUUGCUCAACAAUGGACUGUGAUCAAGAAGUACAAGCUAAAUAAAACCUUUUCUCCCCA